UUGGGGCAGAAACAUUACUAUCAAAUAAAAAAAAGAGAUAAAGGGGUAAAAGAGGACGGAAGCCCGCAUGCCUAGAGCCCGUGCUCCACAACAAGAGAAGCCACCACAAUAAGAAGCACGCUCACUGCAACAAAGAGUAGCCCUGGCUCAUUGCAACUAGAGAAAACCUACGUGGCAGCAACGAAGACCCAAUGCAGCCAAAAAAAGAAAAAAGAAAAAAAAAGGAGGCAGUAUGCAUCAGGAAAAAGAAACGUGAAAUCACUGGGCUGAUGGUACGUGCUGGAUUAUGAACUGGGGUCCUGACAACAUGUCUUCCAUCCAUGAGAAGCCUUUCCAAGGAGAAUGACCCUGGCAAUAACAGAGAAUGAACCUCGUUUGCAUACCUGGAAAUAACCAGCUUAAGAUAAUGAAUUUGCCAGAGAGACCUAUUUGGGGGUGGCGAAUCCUCCUCCCCUACAGCAGG